AGCUUGAAGUUUUUAUUUUAGGUGACAUCUGCCCAGUGCUAUAAGUAAACGGCCGCAGUACCCUGACUGUGCUAAGGUAGCGUAAUCAGUUGGCUUUUAAAUGAAGUCGUGUAUGAACGGAUAAAUAGAGGCCAGCUGUCUCUUUUUAAAUUUAUUGAAUUUGUCUAUAAGGUGAAAAUGCCUUAAACUAGAAAAAGGACGAUAAGACCCUUGGAGUUUUUACUAAUGGGCCAUUUUGGUCUAAGGUUUUUGCUGGGGCGGCAAAGAGACAAUUUUAACUCUCUUUUAAAAUUUGCCGAAAUUUUUAAGAUAAGAUAAACUACCCGAGGGAUAACAGCAUUAUUUCUUAUGAAGUUUGUGACCUCGAUGUUGGACUAGGAAUUGUUUUGGCUAGCAGCCAAAACAAUAUGUUCUGUUCGAACUAUUAUUCCUACAU
rnacentral:rRNA from 1 species